AAAGAUUUAGUUCAGAUUCACACAAUAACACUAACUAACUAACCGAUGGAGGUAGCGGUAGAGCAGCAACUUCUGUGUUCUGCGAGGUAAAAUCACUG